rnacentral:misc_RNA from 1 species
GGGACAUCAGUUCGCUAUUAACGGUGUCAUUUUGAUGAGGAAAAUAAAUUCUUCGAGUGUUAACACAUGAAAUUAUAAGGUAUAAUUUUUAAAUUAUUUUUUCUAUAGGAUGUGGAAUUAUUAAUCAUGAUUUUAAAAAUAUAAAUUGUUUUAAAAAAUAAUUAAUCACAUUUUAAAUAAUCAAUCUUAACGAUGGAUUAAAUUAAUCUUUAGAAAUUUAAUUUUCCUUAGAACCAGCGAUGGAGGAUUAGGGGGAAGUUCGUGGUUUGUGAUUUUGAAAAGGUGGUAUCGACAUGGAUUAGGGUGAAGGGGUGAUAGGCGUAGGGUUAGCGACAUGGUGGUCAUCGGAGAGGUAAUAGGAUUGCCAUAGAUAGGAAUGUUUGGAGUUCCUUUAGAAGAAGGUUGUGGUGCUUUAUUCUUCGACAAGGUUCUUGCUAAGAUGGUGGAGGUGUCUUCUGGUAUGUUGGUAAGAAAAGGAAGAUUUACAGGCUGGGUCCCCACGAAGGUUGGUGUAAGAGAUGGGUUAAUGGAGCUGGAAGAGAUGGAUUUGUGUAUAGGAUUCAGGUUAGGGGCCUUAAGCCAAGGACC